CUUUCGGUAAAGAGCGGCGGACGGGUGAGUAACGCGUGGGUAACCUGCCCUGUACACACGGAUAACAUACCGAAAGGUAUGCUAAUACGAGAUAAAAUACUUUUAUCGCAUGGUAGAAGUAUCAAAGCUUUUGCGGUACAGGAUGGACCCGCGUCUGAUUAGCUAGUUGGUAAGGUAACGGCUUACCAAGGCGACGAUCAGUAGCCGACCUGAGAGGGUGAUCGGCCACAUUGGAACUGAGACACGGUCCAAACUCCUACGGAAGGCAGCAG
rnacentral:rRNA from 1 species